CGGAUGAACGCUGGCGGCGUGCUUAACACAUGCAAGUCGAACGGAGAAAGGGUAGCUUGCUAUCUUUCUUAGUGGCGGACGGGUGAGUAACGCGUGGGUAACCUGCCCUUUGCAGGGGGAUAACAGUGAGAAAUCACUGCUAAUACCGCAUACCAACUUCUUUCGCAUGAAGGAAGUUUGAAAGAUUUAUCGGCAAAGGAUGGACCCGCGUUGGAUUAGCUAGUUGGUGAGAUAACAGCCCACCAAGGCAACGAUCCAUAGCCGGCCUGAGAGGGUGAACGGCCACACUGGGACUGAGACACGGCCCAGACUCCUACGGGAGGCAGCAGUGGGGAAUAUUGCACAAUGGGCGAAAGCCUGAUGCAGCGACGCCGCGUGAAGGAUGAAGGUCUUCGGAUUGUAAACUUCUAUCAGCAGGGAAGAAAGGGCCUAUGGCCUAUGACGGUACCUGACUAAGAAGCCCCGGCUAACUACGUG
rnacentral:rRNA from 1 species